rnacentral:rRNA from 1 species
GACGAACGCUGGCGGCGUGCCUAAUACAUGCCAGUCGAGCGAUGAAGCUUGGUGCUUGCCCCAAUUUGAAGAGCAGCGAACGGGUGAGUAACGCGUGGGGAAUCUGCCUUUGAGCGGGGGACAACAUUUGGAAACGAAUGCUAAUACCGCAUAACAACUUUAAACAUAAGUUUUAAGUUUGAAAGAUGCAAUUGCAUCACUCAAAGAUGAUCCCGCGUUGUAUUAGCUAGUUGGUGAGGUAAAGGCUCACCAAGGCGAUGAUACAUAGCCGACCUGAGAGGGUGGUCGGCCACACUGGGACUGAGACACGGCCCAAACUCCUGCGGGAGGCAGCAGGAGGGAAUCUUCGGCAAUGGACGAAAGGCUGGCCGAGCAACGCCGCGUGAGUGAAGAAGGGUUUCGGAUCGUAAAACUCUGUUGGUAGAGAAGAACGUUGGUGAGAGUGGAAAGCUCAUCAAGUGACGGUAACUACCCAGAAAGGGACGGCUAACUACGUG